UAACAAACAUUCAAAAACACAUAUUAUAGAUUCUUCAAAAACCGAGCAAAAUGUUACAUGUCAAGAUUCAGAAAUUAUACGGCACCAAGUUGGAUUGUGAGAGAAUUGUGUAAUCAAUCAUUAAAUUGAAUAUUGACUGAAUAAAGAAGAAUAAAGUCUACCAUUUCUACGUAAAUGGUAAAAGAUAAAUACAAGAAGGUCCCAGGAAGCUAUUUGCCUCUAAUUAACCAUAUGUAUAUUCUCAACAAGCAAAAAUAAAUAAGGGUAACUCUCAGCCAGUGAAAAUGGAAAGCUGGUAUUUCCUCAGCUGGAACAUAGACUUCCCCAGCAACUGCCUGCCUACCUGUAGCGACUUCAUUCAGAAUUUCGUAUUAAAUCUCUUCUGUUAGCGCCACAAAGCUACUGAAUCCCCAGGAGAAUGAUGGGAACACACAGUCCGCAACAUAAAACCCUGCAAGAUUUUCAGUAUCUAUGAGCACCUAGUAUUUCAAGGUAACAUAUACAACUUGAUGGUUCUAAGUGGUUCGCAAUUGAUGAAUUGAAAACAGAUUAAAUGGGACGUUCCUCACGCACAUACAAAAAGAUCCGAAGUCCAAUAGCUAGAGAAAAUGUUUAUUUUUGAAUCUUUAUUUUCUUCUUCCUCUAUUUAUUUAUAUGUUUGAACUUUGAAUCUAUAAUUUCAUAUCAUGUAUAUUGUUCCUUCGGCAGAUGUUGCAUAUAUUAUGUUAAUCAGAGAUCUCGUAUCUAGUCAGCAAAUCUCAAUAGUGGCAGCUUUUUCAAUUUCAAAUGUGAGGCCAAUAAGGAACGCCAAUUUCACUUGUGUAACUACAAUCAAGAGUAAGCAGAAAUAUCAAACAGAAUCUGCAGAAACAAUUUUUUUUUUUGUCUGUGUGUGUGUGUGAGAGAGAGAGAGAGAAGGGGGAAAGAAAUGGUCAUAUCAUAUUCUCAUUCUAUUGUUCCAUGGACGACGAUAUAUAUUAAUGACUUCAGUGAAGCCACAGCACAAACAAAACACUCAAAGCAAGCGACUUUGAACA
rnacentral:lncRNA from 1 species